UACGUAGGGGGCGAGCGUUGUUCGGAAUUAUUGGGCGUAAAGCGCGUGUAGGCGGUCCGGUAAGUCCGGUGUGAAAGUCGGGGGCUCAACCCUCGGAUGCCGGUGGAUACUGUCGGGCUUGAGUACGGAAGAGGCGAGUGGAAUUCCUGGUGUAGCGGUGGAAUGCGCAGAUAUCAGGAGGAACACCGGUGGCGAAGGCGGGGCUCUGGGCAGUAACUGACGCUGAGGCGCGAAAGCGUGGGGAGCGAACAGG
rnacentral:rRNA from 1 species